ACACGUUUCUAAAUGGGUCAUGAGUUUGUGCGCAGCGAGGAAGUAACACGGGUCUGCGACUGAUGCAGAUAAAAUUCGCUGAUCAAUUUUCCCCCUUGGCCAAUCUUCGAGUUACGAUUCAUACGACAAGCAGCUUUAUUGAUGUUUGCGAGCACAAAAUUGGAUCACUUUCGCUACAUUUUUCUUCUUAGUUAUACGCUCGUAUAACCGGAGUAUUUGAACAACGGAAAUGGGCGUUAAACGAUAGUGAAUACGAGUCAAUUAUUGAUGCGCGAUUACUGAGAAAACGUGAAAUAAUUUCAAACAAAAUGUCUUCGAAAUUUUACCCUGCGAUUGAAUUUGAUGUACGUGAAAAUAAAUAUUCUCGAUGGAAGCAGCGAAGCUGAUUCAAAAAUAAAUGUUUCAAUAAUACUUUACCUUGGCAUCCAAGAUGCGAGAGCAACGUA